AACGCGAAGAACCUUACCAAGGCUUGACAUGGAGACGGCCGGUAUAGAGAUAUACCUUCCCUUCGGGGCGUCUCACACAGGUGGUGCAUGGUUGUCGUCAGCUCGUGUCGUGAGAUGUUGGGUUAAGUCCCGCAACGAGCGCAACCCCUAUAUUCAGUAGCCAGCAGUCCGGCUGGGCACUCUGGAUAGACUGCCGUGGAUAACACGGAGGAAGGCGGGGACGACGUCAAAUCAUCAUGCCCUUUAUGUCUUGGGCUACACACGUGCUACAAUGGCUGCAACAAAGCGAAGCGAAGGGGCGACCUGGAGCAAAGCGCAAAAAAGCAGUCUCAGUUCGGAUUGCAGGCUGCAACCCGCCUGCAUGAAGCUGGAAUCGCUAGUAAUCGCGAAUCAGCAUGUCGCGGUGAAUACGUUCCCGGGUCUUGUACACACCG
rnacentral:rRNA from 1 species